GCUGGAAUUGCUAGUAAUGGCAGGUCAGCAUACUGCCGUGAAUACGUUCCCGGGCCUUGUACACACCGCCCGUCACACCAUGAGAGUUGGGAAUACCCGAAGCCUGUGAGCCAACUUUUAAAGAGGCAACAGUCGAAGGUAGAAUCAAUGAUUGGGGUGAAGUCGUAACAAGGUAGC
rnacentral:rRNA from 1 species